rnacentral:rRNA from 1 species
GACGAACUGUGCAAACGUUAUUCGGAAUCACUGGGCUUGAAGAGUGCGUAGGCGGUUUCGUAAGUAGGGUGUGAAAGCCCCCAGCUCAACUGGGGAACUGCGUCCUAAACUGCGAGGCUGGAGUGAGGUAGGGGUGUGUGGAACUUCCGGUGGAGCGGUGAAAUGUGUUGAUAUCGGAAGGAACGCCGGUGGCGAAAGCGACACACUGGGCCUUGUCUGACGCUGAGGCACGAAAGCGUGGGUAGCAAACAGG